rnacentral:tmRNA from 1 species
GGGGUAGAUUUGGUUUCGACAUGUACAACUAAAUAUGAUUGCAAGUAGUUGGCAAACUAUAAAUGCACAAAAAAAUAAAUAACGAAACUUCUUAUAGUUUCACUCCACAAUUUGCUUAAUUAGCAACGGAGUACUCUUGCCUUUUUUCCUUGUAGGGGAGGCUAAGGGUUCAUAAAUGCAAGGUAUAGAUAGUUUAUUGUUUAAGUAAGUUAUCUGAAUAAUUAUUUAAACUUACUAUUUGAUGGGUUUGUUACUAGCCAGUUAAGUAGGAAAAUACAAAUAGUACUAAACUUGUAGAUAUUGUAUUAUAGAGUAUAUUGGACAGGAGUUCGAUUCUCCUCUGCUCCACCA